UUCUUAUCAACUCAGAUGGUUAAUUUCUCAGCAACUUAUUAGCUCUGAUUUACAUAUUCACUGAAAGGUAGAAUGAUUUUAUAAUCUGAAGAUCUGGAUUUGAGACUUAGUUCUGACAUUUUCUUCAUGUGUGAAUAUGGAAAGAUCAUUUGACCUCUCUGAGUAUCCAUUUCCUCCUGUGUAUAAUGGUAUUUCAGGAAGUAAAUCAGAAAAAUUUUAGCAUCCUGGCCCAGAUGCCCUGAAGAAAAUCGCAACUAGAAGGAUAAUCAAAAAACCUAACUCCUGUGCAAUGAUAAUCCUGUUCUGCCACAGAGAAGAGAUGAAAAAAUGCUUGCCUUCCCGAAGUGGGAGACUAUGAUUGUAGAACAUUGAGUGUUUGAUUAAGUUGAUUGGUUUUGCUUAACA